AGCAGCCGCGGUAAUCCCAGCUCCAAUAGCGUAUAUUAAAGUUGUUGCAGUUAAAAAGCUCGUAGUUGAAUUUCGGGGUUAGCAGGUCGGUCGUGCCAUCGGUAUGAACUGGUCUCGCUGAUCCCUCCCUCUUGACGAACUGUGAUGCCAUUAAUUUGGUGUCGCAGGGAAUCAGGACUGUUACUUUGAAAAAUUAGAGUGUUUAAAGCAGGCUCACGCUUGAAUACAUUAGCAUGGAAUAAUGAAAUAGGACGUUUGAUCCUAUUUUGUUGGCUUCUAGGAUUGACGUAAUGAUUAAUAGGGAUAGUUGGGGGCAUUAGUAUUCAAUUGUCAGAGGUGAAAUUCUUGGAUUUAUUGGAGACUAACUACUGCGAAAGCAUUUGCCAAGGAUGUUUUCAUUAAUCAAGAACGAAAGUUAGGGGAUCGAAGACGAUCAGAUACCGUCGUAGUCUUAACCAUAAACUAUGCCG
rnacentral:rRNA from 1 species